UACGUAGGGUGCGAGCGUUAAUCGGAAUUAUUGGGCGUAAAGCGCGCGCAGGCGGCCUCGCGCGCCCGACGUGAAAGCCCCCGGCUUAACCGGGGAGGGUCGUUGGGGACGGCGGGGCUUGAGGGCGGGAGAGGUCGGUGGAAUUCCCGGUGUAGUGGUGAAAUGCGUAGGGAUCGGGAGGAACACCUGUGGCGAAGGCGGCCGACUGGGCCGACCCUGACGCUGAGGCGCGAAGGCGUGGGGAGCGAACGGG
rnacentral:rRNA from 1 species